rnacentral:rRNA from 1 species
AUUGAACGCUGGCGGCAGGCCUAACACAUGCAAGUCGAACGAGUGGCGGACGGGUGAGUAAUGUCUGGGAACCUGCCUGAUGGAGGGGGAUACCUACUGGAAACGGUAGCUAAUACCGCAUACCAUCGGAUGUGCCCUGAUGGGAUUAGCUAGUAGGUAGGGUAACGGCUAACCUAGGCGACGAUCCCUAGCUGGUCUGAGAGGAUGACCAGCCACACGGGAACUGGGACACGGUCCAGACUCCUACGGGAGGCAGCAGUGGGGAAUAUUGCGCAAUGGGCGAAAGCCUGAUGCAGCCAUGCCGCGUGUAUGAAGAAGGCCUUCGGGUUGUAAAGUACUUUCAUCGGGGAGGCGUUACCCGAAGAAGAAGCACCGGCUAACUCCGUGCCAGCAGCCGCGGUAAUAC